AGCAUAUGCUUGUCUCAAAGAUAAAGCCAUGCAUGUAUAAGUACAAGCCUCACUAAGGUGAAACCGCGAAUGGCUCAUUAAAUCACACCUAAUCUACUGGAUUGUUAAACGUUACUUGGAUAACUGAGGUAAUUCUUGAGCUAAUACAUGCGAAAAAUCCCAACUCACGAAGGGAUGCUUUUAUUAGAUCAAAACCAAACGGCUUCGGCUGUAACACUGGUGACUCUGGAUAACUUUGGGCUGAUUGCAUUGCCUAGUGCAGGCAACAUUUCCUUCGAAGGUGUGCCCUAUCAACUGUCGACUGUGAUAUAGACGCUCACAGUGGUUUUGACGGGUAACGGGGAAUCAGGGUUCGAUUCCGGAGAGGGAGCCUUAAAAACGGCUACCACAUCUAAGGAAGGCAGCAGGCACGCAAAUUACCCAAUGGCCGAAGGCCGAGGUAGUGACGAAAAAUAACAAUACUGGACUCUUCCGAGGCCCAGUAAUUGGAAUGAGUACACUUUAAAACUUUUCCCGAGGAUCUAU
rnacentral:rRNA from 1 species